rnacentral:rRNA from 1 species
CAUGCAAGUCGAACGGUAACAGCGGAGAUGAUCCUUUCGGGGUGAAUUUCCGGCUGACGAGUGGCGGACGGGUGAGUAAUGCAUAGGAAUCUGCCCUUUAGUGGGGGAUAACCCGGGGAAACCCGGGCUAAUACCGCAUAAGUCCUACGGGAGAAAGCGGGGGAUCUUCGGACCUCGCGCUGAAGGAUGAGCCUAUGUCUGAUUAGCUUGUUGGUGGGGUAAAAGCCUACCAAGGCGACGAUCAGUAGCUGGUCUGAGAGGACGGACAGCCACACUGGGACUGAGACACGGCCCAGACUCCUACGGGAGGCAGCAGUGGGGAAUAUUGGACAAUGGGCGCAAGCCUGAUCCAGCAAUGCCGCGUGUGUGAAGAAGGCCUGCGGGUCGUAAAGCACUUUCAGCGAGGAAGAAAAUCCAUGGGUUAAUACCCCGUGGCCUUGACGUUACUCGCACAAGAAUGCACCGGCUAACUUCGUGCCAGCAGCCGCGGUAAUACGGGGGGUGCAAGCGUUAAUCGGAAUUACUGGGCGUAAAGCGCACGUAGGCGGCUCGCUAAGUUGGAUGUGAAAGCCCUGGGCUUAACCUGGGAAUGGCAUUCAA